rnacentral:rRNA from 1 species
UACGGAGGAUGCAAGCGUUAUCCGGAAUGAUUGGGCGUAAAGGGUCCGCAGGUGGCUGUGUAAGUCUGCUGUUAAAGAGUCUAGCUCAACUAGAUAAGAGCAGUGGAAACUACAUAGCUAGAGUACGUUCGGGGCAGAGGGAAUUCCUGGUGUAGCGGUGAAAUGCGUAGAGAUCAGGAAGAACACCAGUGGCGAAGGCGCUCUGCUAGGCCGUAACUGACACUGAGGGACGAAAGCUAGGGGAGCGAAUGGG